GCGAGAAGGGAACUGGCAGGGAGAGAGAGAGGGCAGAAGUUGGAUGGCGCUAUCCUUUGUCGCCGUAUUUCGGCACACAAACAGCUGCCGAGCGUCUCCGUGAUCCGUGAAAUUACACCUUUGCCGCUGUUUCACGCCGUGGUGGCUCCUCGGUGUCAUCCGACAAACGAUCUGCAGCCCCGCGGACAGGAUGAUGGAAGAAUCGGUGACCACAUUUGAGACGCAUCUGACCGCCGUCAUGGACAGCCUGAUCCGUGCCUCGGUGUGCGAGAUCACCAAACUCUUCCAGGAGACAGUGAACGACUACCUGGUGGAGCUGUCCCUCAACAGGAAGGAGAACGAGGCUCUCAAACUGCGGCUGAGGCUCACAGAGAGCAAACUGAGAACCGAGCGCAAGUACGGCAUGGGCUGGGCUGCCAACCGCCGCAACGCCGGGCUGGUGGCGGCAGCAGCACCGGUGGAGGAAGCUGGAGGCCGGCAGAAGCGAAAACUUGACGUGACUCGUAAGUAUUUGCUGUGUGUGGCGACUUGGAGCUUUUCUUCCUGUUUACCUUUAGUUUGCAUGAUGUAUACAGUUCAAUGGCAGCUUAUCAGCACAUCCUGCAGUAUUUCCCUAUGAUUGUGGCUUUAACGUGAAUAACAAUGUGAAUGCUAUGCAGUCUAGGUGCAGUUUAUGUGAAGACGCACUUGUUUUGUUGGAAAACCAUCUGGCAAGAGCUGAUCUCUCCCUCCCUCCUCCUUCCUCACCCCCCUUCCUCCUCCGCCUCCUCUUCAUGAUCGCUCUCCCUCUGUCCUUCACCUCCCCCUCUCCUCUCUCCACUGCAUUCUGUCCCUCCUACUCCUUUCGCUCUUUCUGCAUUUGCUCACUCCCUCCUUUCCUC
ensembl:lncRNA